CAGAGGGGGCAAGCGUUGUUCGGAAUUACUGGGCGUAAAGGGCGCGUAGGCGGCCUGUUAAGUCGAACGUGAAAUCCCCGGGCUCAACCCGGGAACUGCGUCCGAUACUGGCAGGCUUGAAUCCGGGAGAGGGAUGUGGAAUUCCAGGUGUAGCGGUGAAAUGCGUAGAUAUCUGGAGGAACACCGGUGGCGAAGGCGGCAUCCUGGACCGGUAUUGACGCUGAGGCGCGAAAGCCAGGGGAGCAAACGGGGAUUAGAUACCCCGGUAGUCCUGGCCCUAAACGAUGAAUGCUUGGUGUGGCGGGUAUCGAUCCCUGCCGUGCCGAAGCUAACGCAUUAAGCAUUCCGCCUGGGGAGUACGGUCGCAAGGCUG
rnacentral:rRNA from 1 species